rnacentral:rRNA from 1 species
UACGUAGGAGGCAAGCGUUAUCCGGAUUUACUGGGCGUAAAGGGCGUGUAGGCGGGCGUGUAAGUUUAUUCUGAAAGCUCCUGGCUAAACUGGGAGAGGGCAUUGGAGACUGCAUAUCUAGAGGGCGGAAGAGGAAAGUGGAAUUCCGGGUGUAGUGGUGAAAUGCGUAGAUAUCCGGAGGAACACCAGUGGCGAAAGCGGCUUUCUGGUCCUUAACUGACGCUGAGGCGCGAAAGCCAGGGGAGCGAAC